GACGAACGCUGGCGGCGUGCUUAACACAUGCAAGUCGAACGGAAAGGCCCUGCUUGCAGGGUGCUCGAGUGGCGAACGGGUGAGUAACACGUGGGUGAUCUGCCCCUUACUUUGGGAUAAGCCUGGGAAACUGGGUCUAAUACUGGAUAGGACCAUGCUGUAGGUGGUGUGGUGGAAAGAUUAGUUUCGGUAAGGGAUGAGCUCGCGGCCUAUCAGCUUGUUGGUGGGGUAAUGGCCUACCAAGGCGUAGACGGGUAGCCGGCCUGAGAGGGUGGACGGCCACAUUGGGACUGAGAUACGGCCCAGCAGCCUACGGGAGGCAGCAGAGGGGAAUAGUGCACAAUGGGCGCAAGCCGGAUGCAGCGACGCCGCGUGGGGGAUGACGGCCUUCGGGUUGUAAACUCCUUUCAGCCAUGACGAAGCCCUUGUGGUGACGGUAGUGGUAGAAGAAGCACCGGCUAACUACGUG
rnacentral:rRNA from 1 species